rnacentral:tRNA from 1 species
GAGGGUAUAGCACAAUGGCAGGGUGCAUGCCUAGCAUGCGCGAGAUUCUGGGUUCAAUCCCCAGUACCUCCA